rnacentral:rRNA from 1 species
UACGAAGGGAGCUAGCGUUGUUCGGAAUCACUGGGCGUAAAGCGCACGUAGGCGGAUGUGUCAGUCAGGGGUGAAAUCCCGGAGCUCAACUUCGGAACUGCCCUUGAUACAGCACGUCUUGAGUCCGGAAGAGGUGGGUGGAAUUCCUAGUGUAGAGGUGAAAUUCGUAGAUAUCAGGAGGAACACCUGUGGUGUAGACAGCUUACUGGACCACUUCUGACGCUGAGACACGAAAGCGUGGGUAGCAAACAGG